GAGGAUGAUUUGGCAUGUAAAUCGGAGUUUGAUCGGUAUUCAUUGGAUGAGUGUGAAAAAACAAUAAAAGAUUUUGAUAUUUUAGGUUGGUGGAAGGUUAAUGCGUCCAAAUACCCUACCCUCGCAGAGAUAGCUCGUGAUGUAUUUGCCAUUCAUAUUUCCACUGUUGCUUCUGAAUCCGCAUUUAGCACCGGUGGACGUGUAUUGGAUUGCUUUAGGAGUUCAUUGUCUCCACUUACCGCUGAAGCCUUGAUUUGCACACACGACUGGAUAAAGAACCGCCUAAGCAAUGCCGAGUUGGAGGUGUUUUUGGCAGAAUUUGAUGAGCUAGAUGUGAUUCAACCUUCAAGUUCAAGUGCUGCUUCAUCUUUUGCCUAGAGGAUUUGCUAGAGGACCAAAUGAGAGGAUUGAUGAAGUUUUAAUGUUUU